rnacentral:rRNA from 1 species
AUACGUAGGGUGCGAGCGUUGUCCGGAAUUAUUGGGCGUAAAGAGCUUGUAGGCGGUUUGUCGCGUCUGCCGUGAAAACCUAGGGCUUAACUCUGGGCGUGCGGUGGGUACGGGCAGGCUAGAGUGUGGUAGGGGAGACUGGAAUUCCUGGUGUAGCGGUGAAAUGCGCAGAUAUCAGGAGGAACACCGAUGGCGAAGGCAGGUCUCUGGGCCAUAACUGACGCUGAGAAGCGAAAGCAUGGGGAGCGAACAGGAUUAGAUACCCUGGUAGUCCAUGCCGUAAACGUUGGGCGCUAGGUGUGGGGCUCAUUCCACGAGUUCUGUGCCGCAGCUAACGCAUUAAGCGCCCCGCCUGGGGAGUACGGCCGCAAGGCUAAA